AUACUUUUAGGGCAAAUCAUUUCUGCAUCCCCAAUCGCCUCAAUCUCUAUUCUCGUUCUCGACUCUGAACUUGCCCUCUCUCUCUCUCUCUCUCUCUCUCUCUGCAACUGCAAACUACAAAAUCUACAAGAAACAGAAGUUCAAAACCCAUAUAUUUCAGUUUAUCUAUCUGUCUGCAAGAAUCAAAAGUUCAAAACCCAUAUCGGCAUAUCAUUUCAGAUUGUUCAAAAAAUCAAAACCCAUAUCUUUCAGUUUCCAUCGCCCGCUGUUCCAGUUCGGGUUCGCCGUUCGCAAGCUUCAGCCGCUGGCCCGCUGUCUCUCAACUCUCAAGCUUGCCCCCCUCUCUCUCUGCAUCUGCUAAAUUGGUUAGCAUUGGGCCUUAACAUUUAACAAGAACAAGGUUCAAGAAACAUGUCUCCUCAGUCAUCAGGUCUCUUUUCUGAAAGAAGAGAGUUGAUGGGAAUGGGUGGUGUAGGCAAAAAGAAAAAAAGGGCAAGGAUGUAAUUGAAACAUUGUAUAAGAAGGGUCCUGCAAAAAGGCUACCAUUGGGAAGGAGUGAAGGAAAGUUAAAGGACCCAUAUUGGCGAUGAUGGGUCAUUGCCAUUCCUGCCCACUAAACCUCCUGAUAGAUGUAUCAACAUUCAGAGCUCAUGAAAACAAGUCGAAGACCACUAUGAGCUCAUGAAAGGGGACGAUAAAUCAUUCCGCUGCCUCACCCAUUAUCCCAAAAAUUUUUGUAAACAUUGUGGUAAUGGGUUGAAACUCCUGCUAAUAUGGAGGAUCAUCUUCGUGUUUGCCCGCACAAGAUCUACAGUGAAUGGUUAGCUUGGAAGGAAGGCAAGGGAGUUUAAGAUCCGAUCAAAAUGAAAAGUUUAGAGAUCGUUAGAUUGAAAAGACAAUGAAAAUUGGUUGUUAUGUUUUUUGUAAGACCAUACACCCUGGAGAUGGGAGAUUGUGUUUUUGUAAAUAGUCACGAGGGAACGUGAAGCCCCAUCUCUUUCCAUUCCUGUUCAUCAUCGUAUUUGUGUACAAACUAUAAAGGAUGAAAGGGAGCUAAAGUAGCUCCAACUAAAUUUUACCCUGCAGAACUUGAACAACUUAAUAGUCAUUAUAUAUCUCAGUUACGAAAGGCCUGUGAUCAGAGGGGAAAAAGAAGGUAAAAUUAAUGACUAGCCUGUGAUCAGAGUCAUUAUAUAUCUCAGCUACGAAAAGCCUGUGAUCAGAGGCGAAAAAGAAGGUAAAAUUAAUGACUAGCCUGUGAUCACAGUCAUUAUAUAUCUCAGCUACGAAAAGCCUGUGAUCAGAGGGGAAAAAGGAGGAGGUAAAAUUAAUGACUAGCCUGUGAUCAGAGGGGAAAAAGAAGAAGGUAAAAUUAAUGACUAGCCAGUGAUCAGAGUCAUUAUACAUCUCAGCUACGAAAAGCCUAUGAUCAGAGGGGAAAAAGAAGAAGAUAAAAUUAAUGACUAGCCUGUGAUCACAUACUAUUAAGUUGUUCAAGUUCUGCAGGGUAAAAUUUCGUUGGAGCUACUUUAGCUCUCUUCCAUCCUUUAUAGUUUGUACAUACAUAAAGAACAGGAAUGGAGACAGAUGGGGCUUCUGGAUAAGUAUGUAUUGGGUACCUAAGGUACUGUAAAUAUAGUACCUCGACCAAGGGUAAAUUGUCUGAGUUUUUGUUGGUGGGUAUAACUCUGACAUGAUCUUUAAGUGUGUCUGUAUGCCCCUCUUCCAUUUUCUGGCAAUUCUUUAGGUUUAUGAUAUUUUAUACUAACACGGACGCUGUUGUGGUUCCAAGAAUCAGGGAGGAGGUAUCAUUUUAAGUAAUGGAUAGAUGAUGCCCUCUCUGAGUGGUUUCUUUCUUCUUGUUCAUAUUGCUGAAGUUGUCAAAGCCUAGAGAGGAUGUGAAGCUGAUGGGAAGACGGGGAUACAAAAAUGUGGUGGUGGAAGGGGAUUGCAGAGCUGUGGUUACUCAGAAGUCUUCUAACAGAUUCUUUGCCAUUGUGAUCCACAACAUUCAGAGAGUUUUUUACUUCUUCUUUACUUUGGUAUCUAAUUGCGAAAUGGCUUCUCAAUCCAAACUCUAAAUUUCUGGUGAGUUUGGCUUACAAACUCCAUUAGAGUGUGUGUGAGAUGAACCAAUAAAAUCAAUAAACAUGCAUGAACUCAAUUCUGUUGACUUUGACAUGAAAGUGAUGUACAUUAAUAGAGCAGAUGCAAAUUCACAGCAAUGAAACUUGUAAAACGUCAAUAUGCAAAGAAGGGAUAUUCUCUUGAAAUUGGAACUAUUCCAAUUAAUUUUCCAUUGUAGUUUCGGAGUUGAGAAAAUAAAAUCCUCACCACAAUAACAGUUGUCUCAUCAAUUCAUCGCAUGAAUGUUGUAUAACAGUGAGUUUUAAGCCUUAAAAAAAAAAAAAAAAAAGAAAAAAAGAAAAAAAGAAAAAAAUUAUUUAACCCCAAAACAUUAUGAAACACACAUAAAACACCAAUGUAAUCAAUCACACCCGACCAAGAUAAGACACCACAACCAAAGUCCCAAAUGGCCCAGCAGUAUUACUGGUAUUACUCCUUUCUCCUUAGAGGGGAGGUCGAGAAUUUGAAUCUCGGUAGAGGUAAAAUGUAUGUCUAAUUGUUUUAAAAAAAAAAAAAAAAGAUAA